AUUUUAUUCAUUAAUAUAAACCUUAGUCCAAUUUCAAGCAUUUCAGCCACACCCAACCCAACUGGCUUCCAUUUAUAUAUGUUCCAAGCUAAGCAACUAUUGGAAAUAUAGCAUUACACCUAUCUCAACAAUGUUAAAAUAUUAAGUUUAGAGAAGCUUCUUAUUAUGACCACACCCACCAUGGCAAGGGUUCUUCCUCCUGCUGAUCUCCGGCCGUCACAAACACAUCAUCACUCCCAUCAUCCUCCUCUGAUUGCACGCUAUCACCUGGCCCUCCGAUUACACAUCCUCCAUAGUUAUCA
rnacentral:misc_RNA from 1 species